rnacentral:rRNA from 1 species
UGCGUAGGCGGGCUAAUAAGUCAGUGGUGAAAUAUUCCGGCUCAACCGGGAGACUGCCAUUGAUACUGUUAGUCUUGAGUUCGGCUGAGGUAGGCGGAAUGUGUAAUGUAGCGGUGAAAUGCUUAGAUAUUACACAGAACACCAAUUGCGUAGGCAGCUUACUAGACCGACACUGACGCUGAGGCACGAAAGCGUGGGGAGCGAACAGGAUUAGAUACCCUGGUAGUC